AUUAUUAUGGCCAGUGAUGGUGAAAUGCAGUGGGAUCAUAAAGCAUAAAUAAAAGUUUUAAAGUAUUAAUUACACAUCUAAUUUAACUACUAAUUUCCCAUGCAGGCCGCUAGCAGAGUCUUGGAGACAGGAAUUAACUCAUUAUAGAGGACCCUUGUCUUGAAGAAGCAGGUGGAGGUGGAUGAAGUAGAUCGUCAGCUGGCACAGAAACAGCAGGAAUUCAAAGCCCUUGCACAGAGGAGGGCAGGGCUAUAGCUCAAACAGCAGGCGGUUUAUGAUCUCAACUGCGCCGGUGGGCCCUGAAGAAGUAUCCGGCAGCGAGGAAGCGGAACGAUCUGAAACAGAAAGAGGAGCUCACUGAAAAGCUGGAGAGACAUUGGACAUAUCAAUCUUCUCACCUGAAAUCUUGGACUCUCUUUACCUGACAUAUUUCCCCCCAACCUCUACAGGCAGCAGUAUUUAAAGGAUAAGGUGACCAAGCACAAAAUGUAUGAAGACUACAUGAUGAACAUUUUAGAUUUCCUCCCAAGAAAAUCACCUGGAGUAAGGGGCAGACUCCCUGGUGAUGCCCAUCAUCCAACGCCUUGAGACCCUGUCCCUCACCCAUCAGGAUCUGGUGGAGCACCUGGGCCAGCUGAUGGAGGAGCUGGAGCAGGGCCAGCACAGCCUGGACAGUCUGAAGCAGGAGCACAACACCA